GAUGAACGCUAGCGACAGGCUUAACACAUGCAAGUCGAGGGGCAGCAUUGUAAUUAGCUUGCUAAUUACAGAUGGCGACCGGCGCACGGGUGAGUAACGCGUAUGGAACCUGCCCUUUACAGGGGGAUAGCCCAUGGAAACGUGGAUUAAAAUCCCAUAAUACUUUAUUCGGGCAUCCGAAUGGAGUUAAAUCUACGGAGGUAAAGGAUGGCCAUGCGUCCUAUUAGCUGGUUGGCGGGGUAACGGCCCACCAAGGCGAUGAUAGGUAGGGGUUCUGAGAGGAAGGUCCCCCACAUUGGAACUGAGACACGGUCCAAACUCCUACGGGAGGCAGCAGUGAGGAAUAUUGGUCAAUGGCCGGAAGGCUGAACCAGCCAAGUCGCGUGAGGGAAGACUGCCCUAUGGGUUGUAAACCUCUUUUAUUCGGGAAGAAUAAGUUUCACGCGUGGAACGAUGCCUGUACCGAAUGAAUAAGCAUCGGCUAACUCCGUGCCAGCAGCCGCGGUAAUACGGAGGAUGCGAGCGUUAUCCGGAUUUAUUGGGUUUAAAGGGUGCGUACGCGGUUGAUUAAGUUAGUGGUAAAAUGUCAUGGCUAAACCUUGGCCAGCCAUUAAUACUGGUCAGCUUGAGUACAGACGAGGUAGGAGGAAUAAGUUAAGUAGCGGUGAAAUGCUUAGAUAUAACUUAGAACUCCGAUAGCGAACGCAGCUUACCAGACUGUGACUGACGCUGAAGCACGAGAGCGUG
rnacentral:rRNA from 1 species